GCCAUUGCCCCCUGAAACACAGACAGGGAGAGAAUGGUGCGGAGGUCAGUGCUGCUGGCUGGGCCUCAGCUACCCACCGGUCAAGACUCCUAGGCACGAGCCCAGAGCGUGAACAGGGGAGUGUGAACUCGGCUCAGCUCGGCGCCCUGCUAAGGAUCCAAUGGGCCUCAGCUUCCGGGAA